rnacentral:lncRNA from 1 species
AUGUUGAUUAUUCAAUUAACUAACCGAACUGGUAAAGGAGACGCCAGUCUGUCCAUCUGGGGAUGGGGGGGUCUUGGAGUUGUGCUGUUUUUUGUCACCUUUGGACCUUUCGCCAUAUUUUACCUGGCAUUUUAUAUCUUCUGCUUCAUUGGAGGGGGAUUUGCGGUUACAUUGCUUUACGGGAAGAUAAACUCAGAGAAACACUUGGAAAAGUGCGAACAUUCAUACCUGCCACCUACACAACCCGGUAUUCUGAAGACACUUGAUGAGAUGAAGCUGGAGCUGAAGCCUAUAAAGAUUGACAGGAGACUGACUGGCUCCAGUUUCAUUGAUGAGCCACUACAGCAGGUGAUCCAGUUUGCACUGAGAGACUAUAUUCAGUACUGGUACUACACUCUGAGUGAAGAUGAGUCGUUCCUGUUGGAGAUCAGACAAACACUGCAGAAUGCCCUCAUCCAGUUCUCCACACGCUCAAAAGAAGUGGACUGGCAGCCUUACUUCACUACACGCCUGGUGGACGACUUUGCCACACAUCUACGUGUCUUCAGAAAAGCGCAGGAUCGCCUGGCUGAGCGGGAGGACAAGCAAAGGGACACCACAGAAGAGCUGGUCGACUCCUUCUUCGAGGCAGAGGUGGAGAUGGAGAGGAAGGUUUGUCGAGACAUGGUGUGCACCUCACACAAAGAUGAAGAAGGUUUUCUUCGGGACUUGUGCGAGUUGCUUCUCUAUCUUUUACUACCUCCCGGAGACUUCCACAACAAAAACAUGAGAUAUUUUUUGAGGGAAGUUCUAGCGUGUGGUGUGCUGCUGCCUCUGAUCAACCAGCUAAGCGACCCAGAUUACAUCAACCAGUUUGUCAUCUGGAUGAUUCGGGACUCCAGCUGUAACUAUGAAGCCUUCAUGAACAUUUUGAAGUUAACAGACAAGCCUACUGAGUUGGAGGCAGUUAAAGACAAGGUUCUGGAGGAGCUGCAGUACUUGCGCUCUCUGGACACUGCUGGAGAUGACAUCAAUGUGAUCAAGAACCAGAUUAACAGUCUUCUGUUUGUGAAGAAGGUGUGUGAGACCAGGAUCCAGAGACUCCAGUCCGGAAAGGAGGUCGACGCCUUGAAACUGGCGGCCAACUUUGGGAAGCUGUGUGUGAUCCCUCUAGAACACAUCCUCGUCCAUAACAUUGCACUGCAGUUCUUUAUGGACUUUAUGCAGGCGGCGGGUGCUCAGGCGGAGCUGUUCUUCUGGCUCACUGUUGAGGGCUACAGGGUGACGGCCCAGCAGCAGCUGGAGGCCAUGCUGAGCUGCCAGAAAGACGGCAAGAAGCAGCCCAGCGCCACAAAGGGGCUGCUGAAAGCUGCUGCUCUAGGUGUUUAUGAACAAUACCUCUCUGAAAAGGCAUCUCCCAGGGUCCAAGUUGACAAAACAUUAAUAACAAAACUGGGGGAGAAGCUCCAAAAUGAUGACCCCACACCUGAAAUCUUUGAUGAAAUCCAGAGAAAGGUGUACGACAUGAUGCUACGUGAUGAGCGCUUUUACCCAGCCUUCAAGCAGAGCCCUCUGUACGUACGCAUGCUGGCAGAGCUGGACAUGCUGAAGGAGCCGAGCUACAGAGGAUCUGAUGACGGCGAGGGAGAAUCCUUUAACGGCUCACCCACUGGAAGCUUAAACCUGGUUAGUUGUCAACUCACCCUAAUUUUUUUUUAUACUUCCGGGUUUGAGUCUGGCGCCACAUAUGAUACAUAUGCCGAGACAUUUCGCGAUAUGUACAUGAAUACAUUUCCUUCUUUUGUUUUUUUUUUAAGAGUAUGA